rnacentral:rRNA from 1 species
UACGGGGGGAGCAAGCGUUGUUCGGAUUUACUGGGCGUAAAGGGCGCGUAGGCGGCCUCUGCAAGUCGACUGCGAAAUCUCCGGGCUUAACCCGGAAAGGUCAGCCGAUACUGCAGGGCUAGAGUGCAGAAGGGGCAACUGGAAUUCUCGGUGUAGCGGUGAAAUGCGUAGAUAUCGAGAGGAACACCUGCGGCGAAGGCGGGUUGCUGGGCUGACACUGACGCUGAAGCGCGAAAGCUAGGGGAGCGAACGGG